UAAUGAUAUGCUGCCGGGGCAGCAUGAUAUAUUUGCCUUUGGCAAAUAUGAUAUAUUGGCUUGCGGCCAAUAUGAUAUGUCCG
rnacentral:misc_RNA from 1 species